CACGUAGGGCGCAAGCGUUGUCCGGAAUUAUUGGGCGUAAAGAGCUCGUAGGCGGUCUGUUGCGUCCGCUGUGAAAACUCGGGGCUUAACCCCGAGCCUGCAGUGGAUACGGGCAGACUAGAGGUAGGUAGGGGAGAAUGGAAUUCCCGGUGUAGUGGUGAAAUGCGCAGAUAUCGGGAGGAACACCGGUGGCGAAGGCGGUUCUCUGGGCCUUACCUGACGCUGAGGAGCGAAAGCGUGGGGAGCGAACAGG
rnacentral:rRNA from 1 species